GGGAUGAAGGAGUAGAGGCAUAGAGCAGUGGAUGCUCUUGGAUGGUCUGAAAGAGUCAAGCAAGAAUGGAUCCACUUGUGAGCCACAUAACUUUGGGCAAUGCUUUCAUUCCACCGUAAUGCACAGGAUAUAGAUGGCUUGUUGGAAAAGGACUGGAUGCCUUUCUGACUGGUAUGAAGUCUGGAGACAUUUCUGGCAGCGAUUUCAUCUAUGAUUGCGAAGAAUAAGCAGACCAUACAUCAAAAGACAUUGGAUUACAAGGCUCAAGAACUUACAUGAAAUAAGAAUGUGAAACAGAGAUGAAAUGAUCUCUUAUUGCAAGCAUAACAUCUGAAAAAUAGCCAGACUUUCACAAUUAGAUUACUGGUAGAUUUAUUAUAUUUUUCUCUUAUAGAAACUAGCAGUUCAAUUUGCCUGUGGAGUAGACUGCAAUGUUUAAUUCUUGUGAACAUGGCCAGACAUUUGUUUCUCAGAUAGAAAAUGAAGGAAUUGAAUUAACACUAAAUCAGAAAAGGGUGUCUGAAGGAGCUUACCAGAAGUGCCCUAGCAUUAAAAAUGACCUCUCAAAAUACACUUUACAUGUUAGAACAUUGUAGUUUCCCCUGAAUUUUAUUUGGUUUUGGGGGAUGUAAACAGAGGGGCAGUUUUGAGAGAAUGGUGAGGAAAAGAAAAAAGAAAAAACUGUAACUUGAUAUCAGAUAUCUUGGUAUCUGUGAAAACCAACAAAAUGUUAUUUUAGUAUGAUGCAUGUAUUUCCUCAAGGUGACUUUAUAAAUAUGCACACUUCAAAAUCUCAUGACAGAAUUAUUUACGAUUAUUUUGCAAGUAGCACUCUAUGAUUAAAUCCACAAGGCAAAUCUGAACAUUUUGGACUUUUUCUCCUACCCACAUUUUAGAAAUGGGUGACAUUUUAUUGAAUGGAUAGAGGUGGCAGGCAUUUAGGAAAUGGAAAGAAGGGGAAAAAGGAAGAAGAAGGAAGAGGAGGAAG